CUGAUCCUGUGUGAAAUAAUGGGUCUGUUGACAGGCUUAGCGAUCGCAGCAGGGGCAGGUGGAGCAGUGGUGUCUGCUCCUAUUGUCCUGGGGGCUGUAGGUUUCACCUCAGUUGGUAUAGCAGCAGGCUCCUACGCUGCAAGCUGGAUGUCUGCAGCUGCUAUAGCCAAUGGAGGAGGAGUGGCAGCAGGAAGUGCAGUGGCUGUUUUGCAGUC